GCUCGAUACGUUUGCUUCAUGAGCUACAGCGCAUGUGUCGAAGCCUCGGGUAUCAGAGGACCAUCACUAGAUUCUACCAGCAGACACUGAAAGGGCUCUGAUAGUUUGCCUUGGUCUGGAUCAUUGGGAACAUCUAGUCUGAUGGACUGAGAGCUACAGAGAACAUGAACAUCCAGCUGUGGUUGUCUGAAGAGUCUUUUCUCCUUCAUCACUGUGAGGAAGAUCAGCACUGAUGUCCUCCUCAUCCUUCCAGUAAUAACAAUAAUGCUGCAGAUUCAGCUCCUCCCUUCAGAAUACAACUUGUCUUGUGACUGUUCAGUUUUUACACUUCACUGUCAGCAACACAUUAUUUAUUUCAUCCAUUUAUUUCAUGUGUUUACACAUCUUUACAGUUCACAAUAGUUAAAUAAUGUAGUUUUUAAAUGUGCAAUAAAGGUAAUAAUGAA